UUAGUUUGUUCUAAUUUCCAACGGCUACUUCCUAAUAUGCUUGUACUUCGCUUUCUCUUCGAUGGAUUCAAAGCAAUUCGAUCGCUGGAGUCGUGAGACUAAUCCUGAACCUGGCGCUUCGAUAACGGUGGAGUGGGUUUCGGUGAACCGCGAAAUUUCGGACGAUGUCACCGUCUCCUUCUUAGAUCAAUCUUCCAGUCGGUAUUUGGUGGACUAUUGCUACAAGGAAGAUGAAGAUAAUGAAUUGAUAUAUACGAGGGAGGUGAAGCCUCAUGUGUCUGCAGCUUUUGAAGGUCAUAACAGCACUGUUAUUGAACAUGGUGCUGGGGGUAGUGAAAAGAUCCACGUAAAUCAGGCAACAUAAGAAGCAAAAGAAUCAGAGACAGAGGCAAAGUAUAAGAAAUACAAAAGAUGAUAGGGACAGGAUCAGUGAGUUAUCUAGCAGUGUUUUGCUCCAUAUAAUGGAAUUUAUGAAUGCUGAAGAUGCUGUUCGGACUUGUGUGUUGUCUAAACGAUGGAAGGAUCUUUGGAAAGGUCUCACUACUCUCAAUCUCACAGUUGGUUCCAAUUUUUAAGAGUUUGUGUCCGGGGUUCUCUGUAGUCGAGAUGGCUCCAUUUCUCUACUUAAUCUUGAUAUCAUUUUCUGCUAUUUUGCUGACCUUGACCAUGAACUCCUGGAUAAAAUCAUGGAAUAUGCUGUGUCCCACUAUGUCCAGCACUUGAAAAUCUUUAUUUUUGUAAAUUAUAGAUUCCAUUUUGUGUUUCCCUCUUCUAUUUUUUCCUGUCCAACUCUGACAUCUCUUCACCUUUCCCCUUCUUUUUGGGGCCCUAUUUGGAAGCUUCCAAAAUCUCUGCAGUUACCAGCAUUAAAAGUUUGCAUCUCGAGAAUAUCUGUUUUCCUGCAAGGCACUAUGACUAUGUUGAAUCCUUUUCAAGCUGUAUCUCAUUGAAUUCUUUGGUCCUUAAAGAUUGUUCUUUGCAUAAAUAUGCUAAAGUCCUUUGGAUUAGUAAUUCUAACCUGGACUGUGUUUACCUUUCCCUCUCUAAUGUUGAUGCUUACAAAAUUGUGUUUUCAACUCUAAGUCUUAGUUUUCUCACUGUCAACGAUGUUCACCAAGGUCACCAAUUUUCCUCCACAUGUAAUCUUUCAUUUCUUGAAGUAGAUAUUAAUUCCUGUGUUUCACCAUGUUCUCCAUUCCUUGAGAGCUUGUUGUAAGUGCUCACUAACAUUAACAAAUUGGCACUGUCCUGGAGGACCCUUAGGAUGAUGGGAGAUGUAAGUUAUUUUUGAAAGUGAAAAUAGAUCUAUGCAGUAAAAUAUCUGAUGGAGAAGUAAAUGCGAUACUGAAAUAUUUUCUUCAGAACUCUCCACUAACAAGAGUUGAUGUCAUAAAGUGCUGAAAGUUAUAUUCCUAUUUCAUGCUUUUAGUGACGGCAUUGUACAUGAGGGAGUGCGAGGUGGGUAUCGUGAAACCUUUUCUUUUCCUCAGUUAUCUCUGUUGGUAUUGUGUAGACUUGCUUUCCCUUCUUUUUCUUCCUUUUCUCAAUAUCAACUCUCUUGCCUUGCCUUCUUUUGGUUUACUAAAGGUUUUGUGACAUACAUGGUGUUGCUACCUAUAGGUGUGUUGGCAUUUGGUAGACUGAUCCUGGAGCUUUCAGGUGAUGAGAUUUCCUUCAAACAUGACUUUACUUGCAUCAGGUGGAGUUAAACAGAUUUUUCCUAAAAAUGCAAGAUAACAGAUCCACUAGGAUUUAGAUCCACACUUGCACUAGGAUUUUUGUGUGCAUCCAUUCAUAUCCAUGCCACAUUUCUUCUGUUCUCCUCUCCCUCAGCACUUUUAUCUGCAGAUAUAGAUAUAGAAGGUCAUAGUCCCAAUUUUGUUGGUAAUUUGAUCUUAUCCUAAUGCAAUUGUAUCUAUAUAUUUUGUUUCUUUAAAUACUAUGUAAAGUUCCACUAUGAGAAUGUCAAGAUUUGUUCCUGAACGUUUUAUAUUGUUUUCAUUAGUAAAUCUCCAUUUUUUUUUAUGUUUUUAUGUAUACUUUUUUAUUUUCUGCAGAUAUAUUUUAGCCAACAUCUCUUUUAACGUUUACUCUUCUUUGUUUUGAAUUCAUCCAUGGUGGCAAUUGAGGAGCUUGCUGAUUCAAUGUGUCUAACAGUAGAUCCUUUGCAAGCUGUAGAGUCCAUCUAAGACACAGUUUCUGCUAAUUUUGGCAUGAAAACUUGUGAUAAUUUACAGUGAGCCUUCUGCUAAAACAUCCAUGGAGGAGUGCCACUAUUGUAAAGCUCCUUGGGAGGAAGAUUGGAUACAAGGAUUGGAGACUCGUUUGAAGCAGAUGUGGCUCAAGAAAGGGAUUAUCCAUAUCAUCAAUUUGGAAAAAAUAAAUGGAAAAGGAAGUUUCAGGGUGUUGCAACGGUUACUUCACAGGGCUUGGGUGGAUGACUACUCUAAGACAGGUUUUUCCACUUUUGUGUAUCUUAUUCACUAUUUACCAUGGAUACUUGUUGGCUUAUGUUUGGUGGCCACAUGGAGGCUCACCUUGGACUUUUCUGUGUGUGAUUU